GGAUUCUUAUAUAUAUAUAUUCAUGUUAGGGCUCAUAUCCAUACCCCCAUAUAUAUAAAGUGUUUUUAUUGUUACUGUGCUUACUACAAAUAGAUGAGGAUCAACAUGUGACACACCCCAGCUUUUCAAGCAUUAUAUGUUGUGUCAGACUUUUUUUAUGUGAAAUAGACUGAUGCAUGUAUACAUGUAUACAGGUGUAGAGAUAUGUGUAGUUGUACAUGUUUCAGUAAGUAUUCUAUGCCAGUAAAGGCUGUGAACAUUGUUGAAUGCAAAUAAUUUGAAUAAAUCAAAGAUAGGCAGAUACUUGUGUUGGCAGAUAUAAUGCUGGUUAGCUAGUAAUUAUCAUUGUAUGCUUUAUUAUGAUUAAUCCUCUAAGGAUGCACACAAGACAGAAAAAAUAAGUAAUUACAAGUUUUCAAAGUUAUUAUUAGUGAGGAGUGGGACACUGAAGCAGGGUUAUAACGUGUAUUUCUCUGUUUGAGAGUAACCCGAGUUUCAUCUGACCUAAACACCAAACAUAAGACACUUAGAUAGAGAGAUGUCCUUUCUGAGACAUAAUGAUCUUACCAUCAAAAUGUCUAAUGUCUGGCAGUAGGGCAAGAAGAAACUCAUUGGUGUGCUUAUUUGGAUUUUCAGAACAAUGUUAUGAGUAUUUGAAAUGCAGAUUUGGUUGGUGGAAUGGGCAUGUUUGUUUAACUUUCUAAAAGUUCAUUUCAAGGCUUUUUAAAAUAUUCCACAUUAAUGAUAUCUCAAGUUUUUUUUUUGUUUUUUUUUUGUUUUUGUAUUUUUUAAACAGGACCAUGUGAAACAAGCAAUCAACAACAUUUGAAUAAAGUUUAUUUUGUGUUUCAGGUAUUCCCCUUACUUGUAAGGUCUGGAGCUGUCUCAAUUUUACUAGCUAGCUUGGUGUACAAAAUUUAAUGUGAACAUUGGCUUAUGGAUGAUUCUGCCUAAUAUAUGACAUCAAAGGUACAUCAGCUUUAGGACUUUAUUCAUGUGGUGUGACCAAUACUAGAGGAUAAAUACCAUCCCCUGCCACCAGAGAGAGCAGAUUUAGGCAUAGUUUCCCUUAGCUACCAUCUCCAACUGUUCUGUGUCAUUGAUUAAAAUUACAUAACUUAA